CCUGGUGCCGCCGCCGCUUCUCCUUCUGCAGCUCCCGGUGCCUGCGGGAAGGCGGGAGCCACCGUCAGCAUUUCAUGAGUUCUUUGUCUCCUGUGGAAUGUCCUUCCAAAACAACAUGAACAGUAACAUGAAGCUUUGAG